UUACGGUCACAUCACGUUUAAACACCGGUUCUCAUACGAUCAUCGAAGUUAAGCAACAUCAAGCCUGGUCAGUACCUAAUUGGGUGAUUGCUUAGGAAUACCAAGU